rnacentral:rRNA from 1 species
ACGGUUACCUUGUUACGACUUCACCCCAGUUACCGGCUCCACCUUCGGCAGCUCCCUCCUUGCGGUUGGGUCACUGACUUCGGGCAUUUCCGGCUCCCAUGGUGUGACGGGCGGUGUGUACAAGACCCGGGAACGUAUUCACCGCGGCAUUCUGAUCCGCGAUUACUAGCGAUUCCAGCUUCAUGUAGCCGGGUUGCAGACUACAAUCCGAACUGGGACGUUAUUUUUGGGAUUUGCUCCAUCUCACGAUUCUGCCUCCCUUUGUUUACGCCAUUGUAGCACGUGUGUAGCCCUGGCCAUAAGGGGCAUGAUGAUUUGACGUCAUCCCCGCCUUCCUCCAGGUUGUCCCUGGCAGUCUCUCUAGAGUGCCCAUCCGGAAUGCUGGCUACUAAAGAUAGGGGUUGCGCUCGUUGCGGGACUUAACCCAACAUCUCACGACACGAGCUGACGACAACCAUGCACCACCUGUCUCUGCUGUCCCGAAGGAAAGCCCCCGUUACGGGA